UGGUGUUUGUGGGAUUAUUUGGACCUUUGCUAGAAAUGGUAAAGGGUAUGUGCUUAGAGCCCGCGAUGCUCUAGAUUAUGUUUGGUGGUCAUUCAGAAAUGGAUGGACCAUAUUAUGUUUGGAAUCCUACUUCACCAUCUAUCUGUUUAAUAUGAAAUUCAGAGCCGACCUAGCACUUGGGUAGGGUGCGAGGGCUCGAGUAGGAAAGGGCUACCCGUGGAUGGAGUCGAGAACUCAUCACGGCGUAGAGCCACCACUGAGUUAAACCUCACAUACACUAUGCUAGGGUACGACGUCUGAGCUUCUAUUUCGUAUU
rnacentral:lncRNA from 1 species